UGAGCAAUGGCACACAGCCCU
rnacentral:miRNA from 1 species